CAACAAAUCCCAGUCUACCUAA
rnacentral:miRNA from 1 species